rnacentral:lncRNA from 1 species
UUUUUUUAAAAAUGACAUAUUACCUUGAUUCUACAUAAAAGCAAGGUAAUAUGUCUUGUCCAUCACCUGACAGUUCUGAUGUUAAAAGGGUUUUAGGUAUCGGUUGCAUUAAGAACAAAGACAGUAAUGGUCUAUUGCCUCGGUUAAGUAAAGAACUGAGGCAAUAUCUUUCGUCGAUAUUUAACUUCUCAGAAACGUAAAACAUUUUAGCCUAUUGUUCCUUCUUCUUCCUUGCACGAGAAUCCUUGUUUCCUUCUUCUUCCUCGCACAACAAUUCUCUCUCUUAGGCAAAACUGUUGGUUCGUGACCUCCAUUUCUCUCGCGUGAAGUGCUUGUUGUAGUUCCCAUAUUCGUUGGCUCCAUUUCUGUCGUGUGAACGUUGUUGCCUCCAUUUCUCUCGCGCGAAUUGCGUUAUUCGUUGCCGUCAUCGGCCGUUCGUCGCAGCCACUAGUUGUUCGUCGCUGCCUGCGACCAUUCGUCGCCAUCAUCGGCCAUUUGAAGUUGCCUCCGACCGUUUGCAAAGCCAUAGUAUGUUUCUCCUUAUUGUUUGAUUUAAUAUAAAGUAUGGAAACAUUGCACUAGCAUUUUCAUUUCAUUACAUUCUAUUAUGUUAAUGUGAUGAAUUCUAU